rnacentral:rRNA from 1 species
UACAGAGGUCUCAAGCGUUGUUCGGAAUCACUGGGCGUAAAGGGCGCGUAGGCGGCUUUAUAAGUCGGGGGUGAAAGCCUGUGGCUCAACCACAGAAUUGCCUUCGAUACUGUAGAGCUUGAGACCGGAAGAGGUAAGUGGAACUGCGAGUGUAGAGGUGAAAUUCGUAGAUAUUCGCAAGAACACCAGUGGCGAAGGCGGCUUACUGGUCCGGUUCUGACGCUGAGGCGCGAAAGCGUGGGGAGCAAACAGG